rnacentral:rRNA from 1 species
GAUGAACGCUGGCGGCGUGCCUAAUACAUGCAAGUCGAGCGAACGGACGAGAAGCUUGCUUCUCUGAUGUUAGCGGCGGACGGGUGAGUAACACGUGAUAACCUACCUAUAAGACUGGGAUAACUUCGGGAAACCGGAGCUAAUACCGGAUAAUAUUUUGAACCGCAUGGUUCAAAAGUGAAAGACGGUCUUGCUGUCACUUAUAGAUGGAUCCGCGCUGCAUUAGCUAGUUGGUAAGGUAACGGCUUACCAAGGCAACGAUGCAUAGCCGACCUGAGAGGGUGAUCGGCCACACUGGAACUGAGACACGGCCCAGACUCCUACGGGAGGCAGCAGUAGGGAAUCUUCCGCAAUGGGCGAAAGCCUGACGGAGCAACGCCGCGUGAGUGAUGAAGGUCUUCGGAUCGUAAAACUCUGUUAUUAGGGAAGAACAUAUGUGUAAGUAACUGUGCACAUCUUGACGGUACCUAAUCAGAAAGCCACGGCUAACUACGUG